rnacentral:lncRNA from 1 species
AAUUUUAUUUAUUUUUUUCUAAAUUUUAUUUAGGAUUGUCAAAAUCCGGAAAAAAAUCCUGUGUUUACCAAAAUUGUUUUCAGUAUUACACACGUCAAUACCGGAAGUCGGCCAAUUUAAAAGUGUUUGGUUUGGUUUCGUUUUUCAUUAAUUUUGUUGCAAUUUGACAACAAAUUGUUAUGAAUUCUUGCAUUUUACCAAUAACAGAUACUUCUUAUGGAAAUUCAAAUGACAGAAAUCUACGAAUUUUAUAUUAUUUUAAUUCACAGUCCUCAAAAUAAGAUCGUUUGAAAUUUAUUUUUCAGAAAUGAAAAAAAAAGUUCUAGGGGGGUUUAAACUAGGGUCGGUCGGGUUACUGGAACCACACAUAUAUUUUUAUUUGGCCUAAUUUAUUUUAAUUUAAAUGAUGCAUAUGAUUUAAAAUUAUGCAACAACAAUAACCCUCAACAGCAGAUAUGCAUAGAAAGGAUCCCAUGAGUUAUAAAUUAAUCAAUCGAGUGGGGAAUCCAGAGCAACCAUUUAACCUAGUACCCCUUGAAGUCAAGAAAACUAUACGCAUGCGCAUAAUAACCUAAACAAACCCUGUAGUAAGAACGUAUAUUAAACAUGUUAAACCUAAAUGGUUCUCUAUUUUUUAUGGAAGUACAAUAUCAAAUAUCAGUUUAAUAACGGUGACAUAUAAGUAAAACUCCACUUCAGUUCUUAUAUGACAGAAAUAGAUUAUCAGAAUGCUGAGAACUCUCGCAUUUUUAUCACAACUGGGGAAUUCCCUCUGACGUGUUUCUAAAUUUAUAAAAACACUAAAUAUAAAUACUGCUUGAUUCUGAUUUUC